rnacentral:rRNA from 1 species
UGGCGGACGGGUGAGUAAUGUCUGGGAAACUGCCUGAUGGAGGGGGGUAACUACUGGAAACGGUAGCUAAUACCGCAUAACGUCGCAAGACCAAAGAGGGGGACCUUCGGGCCUCUUGCCAUCGGAUGUGCCCAGAUGGGGUUAGCUAGUAGGUGGGGUAACGGCUCACCUAGGCGACGAUCCCUAGCUGGUCUGAGGGGAUGACCAGCCACACUGGAACUGAGACACGGUCCAG